CACUAUCAUUAACUGAAUCCAUAGGUUAAUGAGGCGAACCGGGGGAACUGAAACAUCUAAGUACCCCGAGGAAAAGAAAUCAACCGAGAUUCCCCCAGUAGCGGCGAGCGAACGGGGAGCAGCCCAGAGCCUGAAUCAGUAUGUGUGUUAGUGGAAGCGUCUGGAAAGGCGCGCGAUACAGGGUGACAGCCCCGUACACAAAAAUGCACAUGCUGUGAGCUCGAUGAGUAGGGCGGGACACGUGGUAUCCUGUCUGAAUAUGGGGGGACCAUCCUCCAAGGCUAAAUACUCCUGACUGACCGAUAGUGAACCAGUACCGUGAGGGAAAGGCGAAAAGAACCCCGGCGAGGGGAGUGAAAAAGAACCUGAAACCGUGUACGUACAAGCAGUGGGAGCACGCUUAGGCGUGUGACUGCGUACCUUUUGUAUAAUGGGUCAGCGACUUAUAUUCUGUAGCAAGGUUAACCGAAUAGGGGAGCCGAAGGGAAACCGAGUCUUAACUGGGCGUUAAGUUGCAGGGUAUAGACCCGAAACCCGGUGAUCUAGCCAUGGGCAGGUUGAAGGUUGGGUAACACUAACUGGAGGACCGAACCGACUAAUGUUGAAAAAUUAGCGGAUGACUUGUGGCUGGGGGUGAAAGGCCAAUCAAACCGGGAGAUAGCUGGUUCUCCCCGAAAGCUAUUUAGGUAGCGCCUCGUGAAUUCAUCUCCGGGGGUAGAGCACUGUUUCGGCAAGGGGGUCAUCCCGACUUACCAACCCGAUGCAAACUGCGAAUACCGGAGAAUGUUAUCACGGGAGACACACGGCGGGUGCUAACGUCCGUCGUGAAGAGGGAAACAACCCAGACCGCCAGCUAAGGUCCCAAAGUCAUGGUUAAGUGGGAAACGAUGUGGGAAGGCCCAGACAGCCAGGAUGUUGGCUUAGAAGCAGCCAUCAUUUAAAGAAAGCGUAAUAGCUCACUGGUCGAGUCGGCCUGCGCGGAAGAUGUAACGGGGCUAAACCAUGCACCGAAGCUGCGGCAGCGACGCUGAUGCGUUGUUGGGUAGGGGAGCGUUCUGUAAGCCUGCGAAGGUGUGCUGUGAGGCAUGCUGGAGGUAUCAGAAGUGCGAAUGCUGACAUAAGUAACGAUAAAGCGGGUGAAAAGCCCGCUCGCCGGAAGACCAAGGGUUCCUGUCCAACGUUAAUCGGGGCAGGGUGAGUCGACCCCUAAGGCGAGGCCGAAAGGCGUAGUCGAUGGGAAACAGGUUAAUAUUCCUGUACUUGGUGUUACUGCGAAGGGGGGACGGAGAAGGCUAUGUUGGCCGGGCGACGGUUGUCCCGGUUUAAGCGUGUAGGCUGGUUUUCCAGGCAAAUCCGGAAAAUCAAGGCUGAGGCGUGAUGACGAGGCACU
rnacentral:rRNA from 1 species